UCACUGGCCAUGAUUCUGCACACAAUGCUGC
rnacentral:piRNA from 1 species